rnacentral:rRNA from 1 species
CUUGACUGUAUCCUGGAAUUGGGUUCGGGCUUUUCUUGCGCAGCCUAGGUGGGAGGCUAUGAAGAUUUCCUUCCGGGGAAGUUGGAGCCAUCAGUGAGAGACCACUCUGGAGAGGCUAGAAUCCUAAUGGUGAUCCUUGAAUCAGGACACUUGACAGUUUCAGGUGGGCAGUUUUUCUGGGGCGGAAGCCUCAUAAAGGGUAACUGAGGCGCGCAAAGGUCCCCUCAGUCUGGACGGAAAUCAGACAACGAGUGUAAAGGCAAAAGGGGGCUUGACUGCAAGACCUACAAGUCGAGCAGGAGCGAAAGCUGGCCUUAGUGAUCCGACAGUUCCGUGUGGAAAGGCUGUCGCUCAACGGAUAAAAGUUA